AAUUCGAUUAACGCGAAGAACCUUACCAAGGCUUGACAUGCAUUAGAUCGCGUCAGAGAUGGCGUUUCCCUUCGGGGCUGGUGUACAGGUGGUGCAUGGUUGUCGUCAGCUCGUGUCGUGAGAUGUUGGGUUAAGUCCCGCAACGAGCGCAACCCUCGUUCUAUGUUGCCAGCGGUUCGGCCGGGGACUCAUAGGAGACUGCCGGGGUCAACUCGGAGGAAGGUGGGGAUGACGUCAAAUCAUCAUGCCCCUUACGACCAGGGCUACACACGUGCUACAAUGGCGCAUACAAAGAGAAGCGACCUCGCGAGAGCAAGCGGACCUCAUAAAGUGCGUGUAGUCCGGAUUGGAGUCUGCAACUCGACUCCAUGAAGUCGGAAUCGCUAGUAAUCGU
rnacentral:rRNA from 1 species